AACUGAGAGCAGAGCACCCGGGACGAGGAAAAAAGGAGCAGAGCUCUCUCCUCCCCACGAGGCCCCCGCCUCCCACCGUCUGGGCUGGGAGCUCAGCAGAACCAGAGAAGUGGCUGUUGCCGGCACCGAGGCGGGCACAGUGGGAGCGGAAGUCAACCGCGCCGGAGUCGCAGAGAGCGCGUGCGCGCUACCUUCCGGAGCCCGGGAGGCGGAAGUGCGACCAAGUUGCCUCGGCUUUGGCCUCCGAAAGCUUCCUUCUCUCGUCUACUACCCAACUCCGGUGAGGGAGUCAGGCAUAGUUCGGGGAGAGAAAGGACACGCGAAGAGCUUCCAGGUCGAGGUUACUAAGACUCUUCCUCACGUGCUUCACGAGAAAGUAGCCUUUAACUGUGGAAAGGCGACCGACGGGAACGGGGGAGGAGGAGAGCGGUAGCAGCCGGAGGCAUAAGCUCGCGGCAGACCUCUGUUCCUCCAACUCUUGUUCUGCUGAGGUGGCAUGAUCGGAGGACCCUGCGGAAGGCCAGAGACUGCGCUGUGGGAGGGACCUUCUGCAAGGACAGAGAAGGGAAACAACAGAAAUGACAUGGGGACAGAAACUUGAUUGGAAGUACGGAAGUGUUCAAAUGGGGUUUUAGCAGAUUUUUCUAUGUGAUAAGGAAUAUCAGUAGUGCUUUUGCAAUGAGAUCUGCUUUUCUGACAUCUGAGAAAAUGACCUCAAGGUACAGCAAGAACAAAAUGGCCUGUACAUUUGAGUUACAACACUUUUUUACUUUCUUGUCAUUCUUUUCUGUUAUCCCUAAGCCUUCAAAUAAAAUGUUUCAGAUUUCUUAGUUAUA